GUUACCUCAAGUCACUAGUUCUUUUUUGUAACUAGGAGGACAGUAUUUUCUUUAAAUGAAACCUCUACAAAAAAUAUUAAGAAAAGUAUUUACUUUUUGAAGCCAGUGUAGAGGCCUGGCUAAGUUUCUUAAUUCAAUUUAUUUUAGAAGGCUGUAUUGUAGUGCAGAUGUCUCAUAGUCUACCUACAUUUUCUUAUUUGUAAAGCUGAAGAUUGGGGCUGUAUUUUGUCACCUGUUGCCUACACAGGUCAAAAAGGGCAGAGGGGAAGAAGAUUUACUGAUCAUGCAAGCUUUUGCAGAGAACUUGUUCAUUAUUUCAUUACCUAUUGGUAAAAAGCAGCCACUUUUUUCCCUCUGCUUUUAUGUGCCCCAGAAAAUCGUACAAUAUGUGUGCUCCUAACAGUGCCAGAGAAGCAUAAUGAGGUGUUUAGUCACAGUUUGGAUGUGGUAUUUGUAGAAAACAGUGCAGGAACUGUGGGCUGGAUUUUCAAGGGUAUAGUCCUUGUAAUCCAAGGCUGCCUAAAUCCCAAACUGGUAUCCAGGCAAUAGCGACACUAAAUUCUCCGUUUGCUUUUUGUUAGGCUCUUGUCUGCUGAACAUUUUCCUUUCCUUGCAAGGACUACAGCGUGGCUGAGCAUUUUGGUGGGGGGGUUCGUUGCUUUGGUUUAGGGUUUGGUUUUGUUUCUUGUUAACCCUUGGAUUUCUGUUGGCUCCCUUUAUUGCAGAGCAUCUCCGUAAAUAGGAAUGCAGACAGUCUGGAUGCCGGACUUGGAAAGUAUUUAAUGGUCAUUGGAAAAAAAUGAGGAAGAGGAGGGUGUGGCUGCUGCUGGGAGGCUCUGGCCCUGCAAAGGGUCCCUGGCUCGUAGAGAUGUGGUCCUGCAUCAGCACAAAACGAAGACUUCUUUUCGCAGCUCUGUCUGGGAGGCCCCGGUUGUGAGCGGAGGGAGCGGAGGGUUUGAGCGCGGUGCCCCGGGCAGAGCUGGGUGCCCGCUCGCAGUCCCGGCGCUUCAGCCGGGCUGCCGGAGCGCCGCCCGGGACGGACGGACGGACGGACAGAGCGGGCUCCCCGUGCGGGGCUGCCAAGGCACCGCCGCUAACUCACCUGCGCCCGGCGAGCUGUCCCGAGGCAAGAGUAGAGUAAAAAAACACCGGGGAAAAAAAAGCUGCAAGAUAAACAUUAUGUCGGCAGCACCCUUAAAAACCUGCUCGUGCAACCACCCCUUUUAAUGACUCCUUUCUUGGAGGAAAAAAAAAAAAUUAAAAAAUAAAUCACUCGUGCUAGUGCCA
rnacentral:lncRNA from 1 species